rnacentral:rRNA from 1 species
GACGGAGGAUGCAAGCGUUAUCCGGAAUGAUUGGGCGUAAAGCGUCCGCAGGUGGCAGUUCAAGUCUGCUGUCAAAGACCGGGGCUUAACUUCGGAAAGGCAGUGGAAACUGAACAGCUAGAGUAUGGUAGGGGUAGAGGGAAUUCCCGGUGUAGCGGUGAAAUGCGUAGAUAUCGGGAAGGACACCAGUGGCGAAAGCGCUCUACUGGGCCAUAACUGACACUGAGGGACGAAAGCUAGGGGAGCGAAAGGG